rnacentral:rRNA from 1 species
CAGCCGCCGCGGUAAUACGGAGGGUGCGAGCGUUAAUCGGAAUUACUGGGCGUAAAGCGUACGCAGGCGGUUUGUUAAGUCAGAUGUGAAAUCCCCGAGCUUAACUCGGGAACUGCAUUUGAAACUGGCAGUGGAUACUGGCUCGCUAGAGUGUGUCAGAGGAUGGUGGAAUUCCCGGUGUAGCGGUGAAAUGCGUAGAGAUCGGGAGGAACAUCAGUGGCGAAGGCGGCCAUCUGGGACAACACUGACGCUGAGGCACGAAAGCGUGGGGAGCAAACAGGAUUAGAGACCCCAGUAGUCC